rnacentral:lncRNA from 1 species
GUUGGCAAAGAAAAGGAAGAGCGUGGCCGGCUACAACAGAAAGUUCUGGAGGAAUUAAAUCGACAAAUAGAAAAAAGAAAAGAAAUGGAAGAACGUGAAAAAAGAAAGAUAAUUGCUGAAGUAAAGCACAAGGAAUGGGUUCAGAAGAAAAAUAAGCAGGUUUUUACAGUGGAAAUUCCUACCCAGAACCAACUUUUUAUAACCCAAUUCCAUGGAAGCCAAUUCCUAUGCCCCCUCCUAAAGAAGCGAAGAGUGGACCAGGAAAGAAGAGCAGUAGAGAAGCAGUGAAGAAGAGUAACCGACCUGCCACGAGCCAGCCACUCACAGCAUCGUCCCUGGCAGUUCAUAAUGCCAGGAGCAGCCUUUGCCUGGGGUCUUUGUGCCGAGUACAGAGAUAGAGUCUGUGCACACAGUGUACCAGGACCUAGGACCUACCUUAAAACCAGGAUACCGUUUUUUAACACUUCUUAAUCAACAAGACAAUAUUUGAUGUGGUAAUUGACAGGUACCAAAAAUUUAAAUUUGUAUAUGGAAUCCUUAGAGUUAUAGUUUUUACAUUUUGGUUUUUAUAAACCGUUAAGGUUGAUCUAAUGAUUGUUUUAGUUUUUAUUAAAACUCAUUAUAGUAUCAAU